AGUGAACGCUGGCGGUAGGCCUAACACAUGCAAGUCGAACGGCAGCACAGUAAGAGCUUGCUCUUACGGGUGGCGAGUGGCGGACGGGUGAGGAAUACAUCGGAAUCUACUUUUUCGUGGGGGAUAACGUAGGGAAACUUACGCUAAUACCGCAUACGACCUACGGGUGAAAGCAGGGGAUCUUCGGACCUUGCGCGAUUGAAUGAGCCGAUGUCGGAUUAGCUAGUUGGCGGGGUAAAGGCCCACCAAGGCGACGAUCCGUAGCUGGUCUGAGAGGAUGAUCAGCCACACUGGAACUGGGACACGGUCCAGACUCCUACGGGAGGCAGCAGUGGGGAAUAUUGGACAAUGGGCGCAAGCCUGAUCCAGCCAUACCGCGUGGGUGAAGAAGGCCUUCGGGUUGUAAAGCCCUUUGGUUGGGAAAGAAAAGCAGCAGGUUAAUACCCCGCUGUUCUGACGGUACCCAAAGAAUAAGCACCGGCUAACUUCGUG
rnacentral:rRNA from 1 species